rnacentral:tRNA from 1 species
GCCUAGGUGGUGUAACGGCAGCAUAGGAGAUUGUGGCUCUCCUGACGCGGGUUCGAUUCCCGCCCUGGGCCCCA